rnacentral:rRNA from 1 species
UACGUAGGCAGCGAGCGUUGUUCGGAGUUACUGGGCGUAAAGGGUGUGUAGGCGGUUGUUUAAGUUUGGUGUGAAAUCUCCCGGCUCAACUGGGAGGGUGCGCCGAAUACUGAAUGACUUGGAGUGCGGGAGAGGAGAGUGGAAUUCCUGGUGUAGCGGUGAAAUGCGUAGAUAUCUGGAGGAAUACCGGUGGCGAAGGCGGCAUCCUGGACCGGCAUUGACGCUGAUGAGCGAAAGCUAGGGGAGCAAACGGG